GACAGAGCUGCCAAGUUCGGAGAAACUCUGGGCGUAAUUUGCCGCCUCAGAGAAAAAAGGCAGCUUUCUACACUGCCAGGCACUGAUCGCACAACAGCCAGCCUAAGACUAGGCGGGGCCAUCUGCUACGCACCGUCAUUCCGAACCCCCGAGAGCAGCGCGCGUGGGAAUAGACAGCCGGCGCUCCACGAAAGACACUGCCUACAUCGUAUUUCCGACGGUUCUGCGGGCGUUCACCACGCGGCAGCCCGGACGGCGAGUUCUCCCGGAUCGCGGCGGGAAGCGCAGACCUCCGGAGUCCCGGAAGGGCGCACACCCAGCCCCCGGCCAUGGCUCCGGGACCCCAUCUUCCUCGUCGUCUUGAGUGUCGUGCUGUGGAUCAGUUCCUUAAAAAUGGACGACAUAUGAAUAAAGAAAAUAGGUCUGAAAGGUGAGGAUUUCAAAGAGUAGAUCUCUUCAUUCUUCAAACUGCUGACCCCAUGAGGACAGGCACCGCACCUCUGCUUCCUGCUUGGCCUCUGUUCCUGGAGGGGAGCACAUUCGGGCCUUUCACUUGGAGAAGCUACUGGUCAGGCCUAUCUCCUCCUCUUCCUGCGGUAGUGCUUCAGUGGGAAUCACGUUG
rnacentral:lncRNA from 1 species